UUUUAGAAUUUAAUUUAAAGUCUAACCUGCCCACUGAAAAUUUUAAAUGGCCGCAGUAUCCUAACUGUGCAAAGGUAGCAUAAUCAUUAGUCUUUUAAUUGAAGGCUGGAAUGAAUGGUUGGAUGAAAUAUUAACUGUUUCAUAGAAAUUUAUAAUAGAAUUUUAUUUUUUAGUCAAAAAGCUAAAAUAAUAUUAAAAGACGAGAAGACCCUAUAAAUCUUUAUAUUCAUAAAAUUUUAAUUAUUUAGAUAAAUUAAAUUAUAAUUUUUUAGAAUAUUUUAUUGGGGUGAUAUUAAAAUUUAAUAAACUUUUAAUUUAUAUUUUACAUAAAUUAAUGAAUUGUUGAUCCAUUUAUUAUGAUUAAAAAAUUAAGUUACUUUAGGGAUAACAGCGUAAUUUUUUUAGAGAGUUCAUAUUGAUAAAAA
rnacentral:rRNA from 1 species